AACUUUUGGCAAUGGAUCACUUGGUUCUGGCAUCGAUGAAGAACGCAGCGAAAUGCGAUAAGUAAUGUGAAUUGCAGCAUUCAGUGAAUCAUCGAAUCUUUGAACGCACAUUGCGCCCUCUGGUACCCCGGGGCGCAUACCUGUCCGAGCGCCGUUGUACGACUGAGGCUCAGCCUUGCGGUGGCGGAUCCCCUGGCCGGAUGCGGGCGGGGGACGGCCCAAACAGAUGGGCGUGCUUGGGGUCGGCCCGGCGUAGCAAGUGAUUUUCGCUUGGGUGCGGGCCCCAGGGACGCCAGUGCAAACGACACUUGGCCUCGGAUCAGGUAGGGAUACCCGCUGAACUUAAGCAUAUCAAUAAGCGGAGGCU
rnacentral:misc_RNA from 1 species